GUGCUAGGAGAAAGUCAGAAUAUUAUUUUGAGGCUUGAGAUUAGUACCUAAAACAGCAAGAAAGGAGCUGGAAACAUUUGACUUAAUCAGCUAGAGGAAUCUCAACUCAAAGAACUGUGAGUUACCUAGGGGUUAGAUGCUCUUUCCACUCGUAGCUCUAUGUAACAUGAAUAUAAACUCAUUCCCAGUUCUUUCCCCCUCAGGCUUAUUUCCUUCUGGAAGGAGAAGUGCUGAUGUUCAGAGACAUGGAGAAAACAUAGAAUACUGGACCUUAAAAUCUCUCUCUGACUCCUAGUUGUUCUUCAGGAGUAAUCGGCUUGCUCUUCCUUUCAUAGAGUUUCUGCCUUCCAGGAGAGUAAUUGUACCAUAUAGAACACAAUAUAUAUAGGAAAUUUAUUUUUAUAUGAAUAUAGAAUAAGUCAGACAAUAUAAUCGCAAGACAGCUAGAGAAAAUAUCAUUGAUAUAUACUGAGUAUAUAAUAGAUGUCACGCUGUGAGCUCUAUUUUAUAGAUAUGAUUCUCUAACAUUCAAAUAUACUCAAUGGAAUACUUACUAUCAUUCCCAUUUUAAAGUAGAGAAAAACAAAACCAACAGAUAGAGCACCAGAUUUUAGAGCUUAACUCAACUAUUUCAGUACACUGAAUGUAACCAACACUUGUGCAUAACUUGGUGGGAUUUUUAUCUUAGGUGGAAUAAUUUUUUUUCACUUUGGUAUCAUUAAGUUUUGUAAAUGCAAAAGUGACCCCUUGCUCCCGUCUCUUUUCCUCUCCAUAGCAGACAACACCCGGAUCAAACAGAAGAAAUCCAUUGUUGAACCUGUGUUGAGCCAGGGCCCAGGAAUGUAUUUGAGAGUUUGAGGUUGCAAGGUUGAUACUCUUGAUGUUCCUGAAGGGAUAUGCAGGAGGGCAGAGAGAUGCAAUGAUGUCAGCACAUGCUGGCAUAACGUAGAAACUCAAAUGGCUGCUCCGUAAGGGAAACUUUAUCAUGCACUAGAAGCAAACUGUGGGAGAAGUAGGGCAGUUGUUUUCUGCAUCUUAUGUGGGAGGUUUGUUGUGAGGUUAAACAAGUUAUGCAGAUGAAGUGUUUAGUGCAACACCAGCAAAGAAAGCCCUCAAUGAUGCAAGCAGCUGUUAUUGCAAAACCAAGACUGGAUAAAAUCGAAUUCUCCAAUGAUUAAAAGAAUGACACCCCCCAAAUACCAGUGGCUUAAAGUAGGCCAACAGUCCUAAAACCACACUGAACAGGAAAGAGCCUUGCAGUGCUUAAUAAAAUGCAGACAUCUAGGACUUUAUCUCCUAGAGGUUGUGAUCCAGGCAGUCCGGUACCACACCCUGAGAAAUCUGGCACUCAACUCCAGUCCCAAUAACUAUGACCGUGGAUCUUUGCCUCCAGGUUGUAUCUCACCUAACUGCC
rnacentral:lncRNA from 1 species